rnacentral:rRNA from 1 species
CCUACGGGAGGCAGCAGUGAGGAAUAUUGGUCAAUGGGCGAGAGCCUGAACCAGCCAAGUAGCGUGCAGGACGACGGCCCUAUGGGUUGUAAACUGCUUUUGUAUGGGAAUAAAGUGCUCCACGUGUGGAGUUUUGUAGGUACCAUACGAAUAAGGACCGGCUAAUUCCGUGCCAGCAGCCGCGGUAAUA